rnacentral:rRNA from 1 species
AUUGAACGCUGGCGGCAGGCUUAACACAUGCAAGUCGAGCGAGCGGCGGACGGGUGAGUAAUGUCUGGGAAACUGCCUGAUGGAGGGGGAUAACUACUGGAAACGGUAGCUAAUACCGCAUACCAUCAGAUGUGCCCAAGUGGGAUUAGGUAGUUGGUGGGGUAAAGGCUCACCUAGGCGACGAUCCCUAGCUGGUUUGAGAGGAUGACCAGCCACACUGGGACUGAGACACGGUCCAUACUCCUACGGGAGGCAGCAGUGGGGAAUAUUGCACAAUGGGCGCAAGCCUGAUGCAGCCAUGCCGCGUGUGUGAAGAAGGCCUUCGGGUUGUAAAGCACUUUCGGUGGGGAGGCGUUACUCACAGAAGAAGCACCGGCUAACUCCGUGCCAGCAGCCGCGGUAAUAC